rnacentral:rRNA from 1 species
GACGAACGCUGGCGGCGUGCUUAACACAUGCAAGUCGAACGGAAAGGCCCUGCUUUUGUGGGGUGCUCGAGUGGCGAACGGGUGAGUAACACGUGAGUAACCUGCCCUUGACUUUGGGAUAACUUCAGGAAACUGGGGCUAAUACCGGAUAGGAGCUCCUGCUGCAUGGUGGGGGUUGGAAAGUUUCGGCGGUUGGGGAUGGACUUGCGGCGUAUCAGCUUGUUGGUGGGGUAGUGGCUUACCAAGGCUUUGACGGGUAGCCGGCCUGAGAGGGUGACCGGCCACAUUGGGACUGAGGUACGGCCCAGACUCCUACGGGAGGCAGCAGUGGGGAAUAUUGCACAAUGGGCGGAAGCCUGAUGCAGCAGCGCCGCGUGCGGGAUGACGGCCUUCGGGUUGUAAACCGCUUUCGCCUGUGACGAAGCGUGAGUGACGGUAAUGGGUAAAGAAGCACCGGCUAACUACGUG